UUGCUUCAACUAUGACGCAGCUCCUUAGACAUUCUUAUAAAUGGGGUGCGGAUUCCAUCCCCCGCAAAGAGUGUGCGUAUGCGCCGUUUCAGCUGAUCGCAACCUCCACCGCGCUUCUAGAAAUUAUCGAUUUCCGCAAGCUUGAAGUUCCUUGGUGGAAAAUGACGCCAUGAACAACUAUCCAAUGGGCGGCAUCGACUUUGAUCUUCCUCCAUUGGUCGGCGAGCCGGUAUAAACGGUGCUUACUCGCAACUCCUUUCAGUUGUGUUGUUACCCACUCACUGAACACUUGGAGAAUAGUAUGUAUAAAGAAGUUCACCAUCAGGAAAUUAAACACGAGUGCUCGCGAUCGGGAGGACUCCACGCAUAUCCCGAUCACUUCAGGGAAACGUACCUUUAAGGCCACCAACUAGAUACAUGAACAUCUGAAGGUUCCUGUCCUCUGGUAGGACUUUGUAUAUAGUGUACAUAGGAUCGCUUGCUCUGAUAAAAACAAGGGGGGAUUCCGCUGGGAGAGGACGAGCGAGCUCGAGGGAUCUCUACUACGCGGGGAGAAAUUAGACGGAAAUUAUCCAAGAGUCCUGCACUAUCCUCCACGAGAUAUCCACUCGCGCACUUUAACAGCACGCAUCAGCAGUAAUAAGAGGAAGAUA